UACGUAGGGGGCAAGCGUUAUCCGGAAUUAUUGGGCGUAAAGCGCGCGCAGGCGGUCCUUUAAGUCUGAUGUGAAAGCCCACGGCUCAACCGUGGGGGGUCAUUGGAAACUGGGGGACUUGAGUGCAGAAGAGGAGAGCGGAAUUCCACGUGUAGCGGUGAAAUGCGUAGAGAUGUGGAGGAACACCAGUGGCGAAGGCGGCUCUCUGGUCUGUAACUGACGCUGAGGCGCGAAAGCGUGGGGAGCGAACAGG
rnacentral:rRNA from 1 species